rnacentral:rRNA from 1 species
AUGGACUUAGAGGAUUUUACCACUGCUUGCAAACUUCCGCAAUGGGGUAGUGCUAGUGAACCCCACAAAUCUGAAUUUAGAAAUUUUCUUGCUAGUAUAACUGUGGGGGAAUCUAGAGAUAUAGCACAAGCUACCAUAGGGAGCAUUCAUUUUCCUGCUAUACAUUAUUUUGCUCUCUUCAUAGGUAGGUGCAUAAAUGGUAAAGAUGAAGCAUGUCAUAUGUGUGUCCCUGACCUCAGUAUUCUUAGGAGUGCUGUGUUAGGAGACAAAUCUUAUAAUUUGGGAGCCAUUGUUGCACGUAGGUUGCAUAAUAAUAGAUUUAAUGGAGAUUUCUUCGGUGGAAUUUAUGCAACCCACUUAGCUGAUUUUCUUGGUGUAACCAUGCGUAAUGAUGAUAUUGAAUUGCCUCCUGCUUACCUAGACUUUAAUGCUAUGGUUCACCACCAGUUUGUUGAGAGGAAUGAAUCACCUCUCCAGUAUCGCUUAAUCUUUGACAGACGCCGUGCUGUCCGUAUUACUCUCCCUGCUCCUGCCUUCUUUGAUUAUCAGGAAAAAGGAAGAUAUGUUAUUACCAGAGAGGAGGCAGAUGAGUACGAGAGGAGGGCGGAGGCCGCUCGUCGCCACGCUGCAGCUCAGGAGGCGAUAGCCGCUGCAUCUCAGUACGACCCCGGCUACAACUAUGGAUAUCCGCCAGGCUAUCCGUGGCAAUAA